UACGUAGGGAGCAAGCGUUGUCCGGAAUUAUUGGGCGUAAAGAGCUCGUAGGCGGUUUGUCGCGUCCGCUGGGAAAACGCGAGGCUCAACCUCGCGCCUGCAGUGGGUACGGGCAGACUGGAGUGCGGUAGGGGAGAUUGGAAUUCCUGGUGUAGCGGUGGAAUGCGCAGAUAUCAGGAGGAACACCGAUGGCGAAGGCAGAUCUCUGGGCCGUAACUGACGCUGAGGAGCGAAAGCGUGGGGAGCGAACAGG
rnacentral:rRNA from 1 species